ensembl:lncRNA RMDN2-AS1 RMDN2 antisense RNA 1
CUGGGCACAGUAGGAAGAAGCAUUCUCAUCAUGGCCACUUAGCUUGCUCGAGAUUACACAGAACCAUGCCUCUGGUUUCCUGGUACAGUGCUCCGGCAGGUGACGGAUGCUCCUGGGUGACAUAUCACGGAUCUCUCUGAGGUUGUUAAGAAUGAUCCUCUGUGACUGCACUAAAUAUUUUUUAAGUUGCAUACUGAGGUGUUGCAGAAGUUACUUUAUUAUUAAAAAAACAGCCUGGGAACUGAAGCCUAGAAAUGGGAUAAGAAUUAUAAUUUCAAGACAAAAGCAAGCAACUGGGUCAGAGAAAUGAUACAAUGAUUAACCUUCAUAUGUGGUCUGUACUUCAUCCAAUGAAGGGUGUAACAGUAAAAAAUAAAGUAGAAUGCACACA